CUUGUGAUUCUACUUCUGCCAAACACUGUUAUAAAUACACCAUGUUUUAGAGCAAAUGGUACCUGAGUAGAGCAAAUUAGAUAAGGAUUUUUUUUUUUUUUUUUUUUUUUUUCCCCCUCAUAUCUUAGGUUGAAUUCUAUACCGAAAGGAAAUAUGCCGAUUGCCCCCCCUCCCGGCGAGUCUGACACUGCUGCUGAUGGAAAACCUGCCGAAAAACCUGUCGAAAAACCCAACUCUUGCAUAAUCCUAAGUCGACCCGGUGGUUCAAUGUUCAUGCUUCACCCAGACCUUUUCAAGCGAGGUGAAAGGCGAUAAAGUGGAAAAUUAGCAGCGAAGCACUGACUGGUAAAGCAGGGACGUGACAGUGCUGCAGAAGUAGCUAUAUAUAUAUAUAUAUAUUCAAUGUUCAUGCUUCACCCAGACCUUUUCAAGCGAGGUGAAAGGCGAUAAAGUGGAAAAUUAGCAGCGAAGCACUGACUGGUAAAGCAGGGACGUGACAGUGCUGCAGAAGUAGCUAUAUAUAUAUAUAUAUAUUCAAUGUUCAUGCUUCACCCAGACCUUUUCAAGCGACGUGAAAGGCGAUAAAGUGGAAAAUUAGCAGCGAAGCACUGACUGGUAAAGCAGGGACGUGACAGUGCUGCAGAAGUAGCUAUAUAUAUAUAUAUAUAUGAAGAUGUUGAUCAUGAAUGCGACCGUGUAUAAUACAAUAAUUUAAUGGAUGACAUUCUCGAUCUUACCUCCCAAGUCUGUUGUUCAUCGUUCUCCUUUCCUGGCAACAUCAACUCUAGGGGCGGACACGGGGAGGCAAAGGUGGGCUGUAGCCCACCCCAAAAAAAAAUAAUAAAUAAAAAAUAAAAAAUAAAUAAAAUUUUACUAUACUAAAAUAUUUGUCCAGCCAAAAAACACCAAAAACCUAAUGAAGGCUAAGUAAACUCAAUCACCAUACUAAAAUAAAGGUCCAAAUUAAUUCCUUAGUAUUCAUGUUUAAUGUUAGCCCACCUCAACUAGAAAUUCUGUAUCCGCCCUAAUCUCUAGCUCUACUAAACAACCAUUGCAAUGGGGCAAUUGGAUUCCGUG